CAGCUGCGAGACUUGGUGUGAAUUGCAGGACACAUUGAGCACUGAUUUUUCGAACGCGCAUUGCGGUCUCGGGUACUACCCGGGACCACGUCUGUCUGAGGGUCGGAUAAACGCUUGCAGAAGGAGGUCUCCUCCUGAUUGGUCGCCUCGGAGUUCGCCUCCGUCGACCCAAGUCUUGCGUUGAUCCGCCGCCGAGAGGCGUCCCGCGUAAGGACGCCCGGGAGUGGGAGUGGCGGAUUGCUUCUCUCCCUUUUUCCCGGGCCUGCGGUAGAUGCGAGAGCGGCGGACGCGAGAAGGAAGGGCGAGGACCCGUUCCUCGUCUCAUGAUGUCGACCUCAGAUCAGGCGAGACGACCCGCUGAAUUUAA
rnacentral:misc_RNA from 1 species